GGAGCUGGGGACCAAACCCAGGGCCUUGCACUUCCUAGGCAAGCGCUCUACCACUGAGCUAAAUCCCCAACCCCCUGAAAUCCAUUUUUUAAUAGGGUUAUUUGACUCCCUGCGGUCUAACUUCUUGAGUUCUUUGUAUAUUUUGGAUAUAAGGCCUCUAUCAGUUGUGGGAUUGGUAAAGAUCUUUUCCCAAUCUGUUGGUUGCCGUUUUGUCCUAACCACAGUGUCCUUUGCCUUACAGAAG
rnacentral:lncRNA from 1 species